UGGGAUAACUCCGGGAAAACGGAGCUAAUACCGAAUAGUUUGCGGCCUCUCCUGAGGCUGUACGGAAAGACGGUUUCGGCUGUCACUGCAGGAUGGGCCCGCGGCGCAUUAGCUAGUUGGUGGGGUAAUGGCCUACCAAGGCGACGAUGCGUAGCCGACCUGAGAGGGUGAUCGGCCACACUGGGACUGAGACACGGCCCAGACUCCUACGGGAGGCAGCAGUAGGGAAUCUUCCGCAAUGGACGAAAGUCUGACGGAGCAACGCCGCGUGAGUGACGAAGGUUUUCGGAUCGUAAAACUCUGUUGUGAGGGAAGAACAAGUACCAAGUAACUACUGGUACCUUGACGGUACCUCACCAGAAAGCCACGGCUAACUACGUGCCAGCAGCCGCGGUAAUACGUAGGUGGCAAGCGUUGUCCGGAAUUAUUGGGCGUAAAGCGCGCGCAGGCGGUUCCUUAAGUCCGAUGUGAAAGCCCACGGCUCAACCGUGGAGGGUCAUUGGAAACUGGGGAACUUGAGUGCAGAAGAAGAAAGUGGAAUUCCAUGUGUAGCGGUGAAAUGCGUAGAGAUGUGGAGGAACACCAGUGGCGAAGGCGACUUUCUGGUCUGUAAAUGACGCUGAGGCUCGAAAGCGUGGGGAGCAAACAAGAUUAGAUACCCU
rnacentral:rRNA from 1 species